CAGCCGCCGCGGUAAUACGAAGGGUGCAAGCGUUACUCGGAAUUACUGGGCGUAAAGCGUGCGUAGGUGGUGGUUUAAGUCCGUUGUGAAAGCCCUGGGCUCAACCUGGGAAUUGCAGUGGAUACUGGGUCACUAGAGUGUGGUAGAGGAUAGUGGAAUUUCCGGUGUAGCAGUGAAAUGCGUAGAGAUCGGAAGGAACAUCUGUGGCGAAGGCGGCCAUCUGGGACAGCACUGACGCUGAGGCACGAAAGCGUGGGGAGCAAACAGGAUUAGAUACCCCCGUAGUCCCUGUCUCUUAUAC
rnacentral:rRNA from 1 species